rnacentral:rRNA from 1 species
AUGGCUCAGAUUGAACGCUGGCGGCGUGCUUAACACAUGCAAGUCGAACGCGAAAGGGACUUCGGUCCUUGAGUAAAGUGGCGCACGGGUGAGUAACGCGUGGAUAAUCUGCCCUUAUGAUUGGAAUAACAGUUGGAAACGGCUGCUAAUACCGGAUACGCUCAAAAUGAACUUUUUGAGGAAAGAUGGCCUCUGCUUGCAUGCUAUCGCAUAAGGAUGAGUCCGCGUCCCAUUAGCUUGUUGGCGGGGUAACGGCCCACCAAGGCAACGAUGGGUAGCCGAUUUGAGAGGAUGAUCGGCCACACUGGAACUGAAACACGGUCCAGACUCCUACGGGAGGCAGCAGUGGGGAAUAUUGCGCAAUGGGCGAAAGCCUGACGCAGCGACGCCGCGUGAGGGAUGAAGGUUUUCGGAUCGUAAACCUCUGUCAGAAGGGAAGAAACUACGUUGUGCUAAUCAGCAGCGUACUGACGGUACCUUCAAAGGAAGCACCGGCUAACUCCGUG